UGCAGUCGAGCGAACAGACAGGAGCUUGCUCCUUUGACGUUAGCGGCGGACGGGUGAGUAACACGUGGGUAACCUACCUAUAAGACUGGGAUAACUUCGGGAAACCGGAGCUAAUACCGGAUAAUAUUUCGAACCGCAUGGUUCGAUAGUGAAAGAUGGUUUUGCUAUCACUUAUAGAUGGACCCGCGCCGUAUUAGCUAGUUGGUAAGGUAACGGCUUACCAAGGCGACGAUACGUAGCCGACCUGAGAGGGUGAUCGGCCACACUGGAACUGAGACACGGUCCAGACUCCUACGGGAGGCAGCAGUAGGGAAUCUUCCGCAAUGGGCGAAAGCCUGACGGAGCAACGCCGCGUGAGUGAUGAAGGUCUUCGGAUCGUAAAACUCUGUUAUUAGGGAAGAACAUACGUGUAAGUAACUGUGCACGUCUUGACGGUACCUAAUCAGAAAGCCACGGCUAACUACGUGCCAGCAGCCGCGGUAAUACGUAGGUGGCAAGCGUUAUCCGGAAUUAUUGGGCGUAAAGCGCGCGUAGGCGGUUUUUUAAGUCUGAUGUGAAAGCCCACGGCUCAACCGUGGAGGGUCAUUGGAAACUGGAAAACUUGAGUGCAGAAGAGGAAAGUGGAAUUCCAUGUGUAGCGGUGAAAUGCGCAGAGAUAUGGAGGAACACCAGUGGCGAAGGCGACUUUCUGGUCUGUAACUGACGCUGAUGUGCGAAAGCGUGGGGAUCAAACAGGAUUAGAUACCCUGGUAGUCCACGCCGUAACGAUGAGUGCUAAGUG
rnacentral:rRNA from 1 species